rnacentral:rRNA from 1 species
GACGAACGCUGGCGGCGUGCUUAACACAUGCAAGUCGAACGGAAAGGCCCUGCUUGCAGGGUACUCGAGUGGCGAACGGGUGAGUAACACGUGGGUGAUCUGCCCUGCACUUCGGGAUAAGCCUGGGAAACUGGGUCUAAUACCGGACAGGAGCCCAUUUUAGUGUGAUUGUUGGACAGUUUUUUCGGUGUAGGAUGAGCUCGCGGCCUAUCAGCUUGUUGGUUGGGUAAUGGCCUACCAAGGCGGCGAUGGGUAGCCGGCCUGAGAGGGUGUACGGCCACAUUGGGACUGAGAUACGGCCCAGACUCCUACGGGAGGCAGCAGUGGGGAAUAUUGCACAAUGGGCGCAAGCAUGAUGCAGCGACGCCGCGUGGGGGAUGACGGCCUUCGGGUUGUAAACUCCUUUCGCUAGGGACGAAGCUUUUUGUGACGGUACCUAGAUAAGAAGCACCGGCUAACUACGUG